rnacentral:rRNA from 1 species
CCCUUAGAUGUCCUGGGCCGCACGCGUGCUACAAUGAUAAAAGGAAAGAGCAAAAAGGGUAUUCCUCUUUGAUACUGAAUAGAAAUGUUUGGUUAAUCUUUAGAAAUUUUAUCGUGCUGGGGAUAGAUCCUUGAAAUUAUUGAUCUUAAACGAGGAAUUCCUAGUAAGCGCAAUUCAUCAAAUUGCGUUGAUUUCGUCCCUGCCCUUUGUACACACCGCCCGUCGCUACUACCGAUUGGAUGGUUUAGUGAGACCCUCGGAUCGGUCCCGACUCGGGGUGGGCUUCUGCCCCGGUCGUGGUUUCGCCGAGAAGACGGUCAAACUUGACUAUCUAGAGGAAGUAAAAGUCGUAACA